AAUCAACGCUGGCGGCGUGCCUCAGACAUGCAAGUCGAACGAUUAAGACUCCCUCCGGGGAGUGCAUAAAGUGGCGCACGGGUGAGUAACACGUAAGUAAUCUACCUUCGAGUGGGAAAUAACAUCGGGAAACCGAUGCUAAUACCGCAUAAUGCAGCGGCAUCGAAAGAUGACAGUUGUUAAAGGAGCAAUUCGCUUGAAGAGGAGCUUGCGGCAGAUUAGCUAGUUGGUAAGGUAAUGGCUUACCAAGGCUACGAUCUGUAUCCGGUCUAAGAGGACGGUCGGACACACUGACACUGAAUAACGGGUCAGACUCCUACGGGAGGCAGCAGUCGGGAAUUUUGGGCAAUGGGCGAAAGCCUGACCCAGCAACGCCGCGUGGAGGAUGAAGUUUUUCGGAAUGUAAACUUCGAAAGAAUGGGAAGAAUAAAUGACGGUACCAUUUAUAAGGUCCGGCUAACUACGUGCCAGCCGCCGCCGUAAGAC
rnacentral:rRNA from 1 species